UUGCUACUAAAAUUUGUAGGUUCAACUGAGGAGUCUUAGUUGAUUAAAAAGGAAUCAGGUGAAAAGCCUGAGCGGUCCCGCCACUGUAAUAAAGGAGUUUAAGUACAAUAUGUCACUGGGAAACUGGGAAGGCGUACUUAAGCAAUGAUUUUUGAGCCAGGAUACUUGCCAUAUUCUAGUAUGUUUU
rnacentral:ncRNA from 2 species